rnacentral:rRNA from 1 species
GAUGAACGCUGGCGGCGUGCCUAAUACAUGCAAGUCGAGCGAACAGACGAGGAGCUUGCUCCUCUGACGUUAGCGGCGGACGGGUGAGUAACACGUGGAUAACCUACCUAUAAGACUGGGAUAACUUCGGGAAACCGGAGCUAAUACCGGAUAAUAUAUUGAACCGCAUGGUUCAAUAGUGAAAGACGGCUUUGCUGUCACUUAUAGAUGGAUCUGCGCCGCAUUAGCUAGUUGGUAAGGUAACGGCUUACCAAGGCAACGAUGCGUAGCCGACCUGAGAGGGUGAUCGGCCACACUGGAACUGAGACACGGUCCAGACUCCUACGGGAGGCAGCAGUAGGGAAUCUUCCGCAAUGGGCGAAAGCCUGACGGAGCAACGCCGCGUGAGUGAUGAAGGUCUUCGGAUCGUAAAACUCUGUUAUUAGGGAAGAACAAAUGUGUAAGUAACUAUGCACGUCUUGACGGUACCUAAUCAGAAAGCCACGGCUAACUACGUG